rnacentral:tRNA from 1 species
UCCCCUGUAGCUCAAUUGGCAGAGCAUCUGACUGUUAAUCAGAGGGUUCCUGGUUCGAGUCCAGGCGGGGGAG